UGGCGUCUGUUCGGCGAGUGAAGCGGCAAAAGCUCAAAUUUGAAACCCUCGGGAUUGUAAUUUGAAGAUUUGGCAUUGGAGAAAGCUAACCCAAGUUGCUUGGAAUAGUACGUCAUAGAGGGUGACAACCCCGUCUGGCUAACCGUUCUCCAUGUAUUGCCUUAUCAAAGAGUCGAGUUGUUUGGGAAUGCAGCUCAAAGUGGGUGGUAAACUCCAUCUAAAGCUAAAUACUGGUGAGAGACCGAUAGCGAACAAGUACUGUGAAGGAAAGGUGAAAAGAACUUUGAAAAGAGAGUGAAAUAGUAUGUGAAAUUGUUGAUAGGGAAGGAAAUGAGUGGAGAGUGGCCGAGGUUUCAGCCGCCCCUCGUGGGCGGUGUACUGCCGACGCCGAGUCAUCGAUAGCGAGACGAGGGUUACAAAUGGGAGCGCCUUUCGGGCGUUCUCCCCUAACCCUCCACACUGCCACCGACGACAUAAUCCACCCAUUUCACCCGUCUUGAAACACGGACCAAAG
rnacentral:rRNA from 1 species